rnacentral:tRNA from 2 species
GGAGACGUGGCUGAGCGGCCGAAAGCGGCACCCUGCUAAGGUGUUAGGGGCUUUGCCCCUCGCAGGUUCAAAUCCUGUCGUCUCCG